AUUCCACGUUAUUACAUUAUUAUUUCUUGAGGAGAUCACGUGAUCAACAGCCUUGUUUUAUAUUUUUAUUUAUAUUCAGACACGAAGUCUCAAUCGUUCGAGUACGGCAACAACAGCAAGUUGUAAUUAUUUGGAAUUGACUAUAUUAAAUUGACAGCAACAGUAAGCUCAGUACAAAUGGAUCCUUAGCCCGGGUCUUAAUUAACCCCAAUUUAUAUAUAAUGGGCCAUUAGUAACGCCCAAUAACAAAUGGAUCCUUAGCCCGUGAAACCUAUUGGUCCACCGAUGGUUUUGCGCUUCCCCUCGUCACCGUCCCCCACCCGAUACAGUGUUCGUGAUGUACGACGAUUUCGCACCGGAGAAGCCACACGAGCCUUUCUCGGUACGCCGCCGUCAUCCUCUCUUCUCUCUUGUCCUAUAUCUCGCCUAAUCUUUGGUGGGAAGCCUGCCUCCGAGAUGAAACCCUAGCCCGCGGUCUCUUUCGUCCUCUGACAUCGCCGUAGUUCAAGUACGUCGUAGCUACGGUUCGAAUGGCGUGGAAAGAUUCGACCUCCUGUUGCUUUCUUGGUUGAAUUUGUUCGCAGUUUCAGGAGUGCAAAAAGGCGGUUUCGAGGAGCAGCAUGGGGAUGAUUUAGGUUCCCAAUUCGAAGAUAUCAUCGAUCACAUGUGGCAAGUGUGAUUUCCGUUGCUCUCAAUUGAUGAGGGAAGGUAUCAUUUACAGUCUGGACCUGGGCAGUCGGCAGUGAUAUCCUCCGAGAUAAAAACCUUAAGCUCCCGAGGUGUCAAUUGAAGACCGAGGUUGGAAGAGAUUUUGGUACUAGUGCGGACGUCGAUAGUCAAAAUGGGUGGAGGGUGGCUUUGUCUUCUCUUUUCAUCCUAGACACCACUUGACGGUUGUGUAUCAGAUAACUAUUGGCUGACGGCGUACUCCCUAUCACCAAUCAUGCUUUAUCAAGUUCUUGGAUAGUUUUAUGACCUUUAUCUUAUUUUUCGGUAGAUUCUUGAACUCCUAAACAUGAUGCAUUAUGUAUUCUACUAGUUGCUUCUUUACCUUGCUUGGAAGUACAAAAACAUUUCGUUGCUUGCUGAGUUUGUGGUAUUUAUAUCACUCCCCCCCCUUUAGGAGUACUUGUAACUUAGCUCUAUUUGAGGAAGACUUGGUAAACUCUAUGCAGAUAGAAGGCCAUUUUACAUAAGAAGCUUGUUUAGAGUGGUGUAUUCAUGGCAUAAUGGCUGGUGAGCAAAUGACUCGUGUAACAUGAUCAACUCUGCAAGCAAUGAGGUGCAUUAACCACAUUUGCAAAUAUCACAAAAAGAUCAAGGAAUUGCAAGGAGUUGAGGAGCAUCUGAAAAAUCAAUAGAAACUAUUAGUUACUGGGCCAAUGGGCACAUCAACUCAUAGCUUGUGCAGGCCAUCCAUGAACAAACAUCUGACUGCACAAGGUUGUUGAAUUAUCUGCAGAUGGCCGAUGAUGAUUGGCAAAUAAGAUGUCUGCAGACUGGUUCCAAGGGCAAACACUUGGAGCUGAUAUUACUCUUACAAUCAAUGGGCUAUGGGCUAUGGGAGGGGAGGACAUGACUAGGCGAGGACAGAUUUGACAUCGAAGACCUUCAAGAGAAGUAUCAAAUCUCAGCCAUGCGUGGCCUCAGAGUUCCGCCAUCAACACACCACAUGAUGCUGGCUCGUUAUUAUCGAUCACCAGCAAUUUUUCCACCGGUCUGUUCAAAUCAGUAGCGACGACCGCGGGUUGAUUUAAAAUGUGGUCAAGUCCAACUCGCACGCAUGGAAAAAGGGAAGAGAGAGAGAGUGAGAGAGAGUCCAUGAUCAACGUGGAAUACUGGUCGGAGGGCAUUUAUCACGGACAUGUCGUUGUCCGAUCCCUUGUUGGUUUUGGAUGGAUGAGAAGCGUGAGUUGUGAGUGUAGAAGGCUUCUCAUCUACAAACCUUUUGGAUCCACUUUCUUAGGAGUACAAUGGUGAAGUGACGAUGAAGAUAAUGCAAUGCGUGUCAUGAGCUUGGGUAUUAAGAUAAUUUUGAAUGCUUAAUUAA